rnacentral:rRNA from 1 species
UACGGAGGGUGCAAGCGUUAUCCGGAUUCACUGGGCUUAAAGGGUGCGUAGGCGGGCAGGUAAGUCCGUGGUGAAAUCUCUGAGCUUAACUCAGAAACUGCCAUGGAUACUAUUUGUCUUGAAUAUUGUGGAGGUAAGCGGAAUAUGUCAUGUAGCGGUGAAAUGCUUAGAUAUGACAUAGAACACCAAUUGCGAAGGCAGCUUACUACACAGUUAUUGACGCUGAGACACGAAAGCGUGGGGAUCAAACAGG